rnacentral:rRNA from 1 species
AAUAGAUACCCUGGUAGUCCACGCCGUAAACGGUGGGCGCUAGGUGUGGGGAACAUUCCACGUUCUCCGUGCCGCAGCUAACGCAUUAAGCGCCCCGCCUGGGGAGUACGGCCGCAAGGCUAAAACUCAAAGGAAUUGACGGGGGGCCCGCACAAGCGGCGGAGCAUGCGGCUUAAUUCGAUGCAACGCGAAGAACCUUACCUAGGCUUGACAGUUGGGGAAAUCUGGCAGAGAUGUCAGGUCCGCAAGGGCCCCAAAACAGGUGGUGCAUGGCUGUCGUCAGCUCGUGUCGUGAGAUGUUGGGUUAAGUCCCGCAACGAGCGCAACCCUCGUCGUAUGUUGCCAGCGGAUAAUGCCGGGGACUCAUACGAGACUGCCGGGGUCAACUCGGAGGAAGGUGGGGAUGACGUCAAGUCAUCAUGCCCCUUAUGUCUAGGGCUGCACGCAUGCUACAAUGGCCGGUACAAAGGGCUGCGAUACCGUAAGGUGGAGCGAAUCCCAAAAAGCCGGUCUCAGUUCGGAUUGGGGU